rnacentral:rRNA from 1 species
AGCUCCAACAGUUUAUAUUAAUACUGCUGCGGUUGAAACGCUCGUAGUUGGGAAUUUGUUGUAUAUUAUUGGUCUAUCCCAGUGUUCAGUACUGUAUAUGAAUGCAGCAUUUCCUUGAACAGCUAUCUACACUUAAUUGUGUAUUGUGUUGAAUCAAUCUGUAUACUUUGAAGAAAUGAGAGUGUUUUAAGCAAUUUAAUUGAAGGAUACAUUAGCAUGGAAUAACACUUUACGAUCUGAUUUUGUGUCUGUUGGUUGCCGAAGUAAGAUCAUAAAGAGGAGGAUAAUUGGUGGUACUUAUAUUGCGCAGUCAGAGGUGAAAUUCUUGGAUCUUCGCAAGAUUAUCGAUUGCGGAAGCAUUUGUCAAGAGUGUUUUUA